GGGGCCUGCUCACUGUCCACUGAAUACUGCUGUCUGAGUCUCAGAGGGCCCUUACUAAUGGAUGACUGAUUCCUCGAUUGACUGAAUGAAUUGAUACUGAAACUUAGAUCUGGACGAGAAGCAGCAGCAGCCUGUUACAUGACUAGGAAGAGGGAAUUCUGGACCUCCAGACUGGCAGAUUCUGAGGUCAGGCCACCUUCCAGACACCAAGCUUACAGAUGCUACCAUGACUCCACCAUGACUUCUCUCGACAGACGACCUCACCAAUAUGUCCUGGACCCUCACAUCUCCAGAGCUCUGGCCCACUAGGGAAAGAUAGAAACAGGCAGGGGGUAUGGAUGGACCUGUCAACACCCAUGCUCAGUGGAGAAGCAGUUACAGAAGCCAGAACUCCUACCUUCUGCUCCCCAUAAACAACCUUGAUCCUCACUCCCAGCAGGGGAGAAGUGAUAGGAUGAAGCUAAGAGGACUCUGCACUCCAGCUCCAUCAGCACCCAGAGAGAGAGAAGGAAAAGAAGAGGGACAUAUGGAGGUAGCUACGAUAUUAUGAGUGGCUUAGAGGGGAAGAGAGGAUUGAAUCAGAAAAAGAAGGGGCAAUUAUGUAU